rnacentral:rRNA from 1 species
UACGUAGGGCCCGAGCGUUGUCCGGAUUCAUUGGGCGUAAAGAGCUCGUAGGCGGCUGCUCAAGUCGAAUGUGAAAACUCGAGGCUCAACCUCGAGCCUGCAUUCGAUACUGGGCGGCUAGAGUCUGGUAGGGGGAUCUGGAAUUCCUGGUGUAGCGGUGGAAUGCGCAGAUAUCAGGAGGAACACCGGUGGCGAAGGCGGGAUCCUGGGCCAGUACUGACGCUGAGGUGCGAAAGCGUGGGGAGCAAACAGG